CUGCCCACUGAUUGAAGGGCCGCGGUAAUUUGACCGUGCAAAGGUAGCAUAAUUAUUAGUCUUUUAAUUGAAGGCUGGAAUGAAUGGUUAGACGAGAUAUGAUCUAUUGAAUUUAAUUAUUAGGUUAAAAAGCUUAAAUUUUUUUUUGGGACGAGAAGACCCUAUAGAUUUUUAUAUAUUUUGUUGGGGUGAUAGGAAGAUAAAAAACUUUUAUUAGAUCCAGUUGAUUAUAAGAUUAAAUUACCUUAGGGAUAACAGCGUAAUCUUUUUUGAGAGUUCAAAUCGACAAUAAGGAUUGCGACCUCGAGUUGGAUUAAAAU
rnacentral:rRNA from 1 species